AAGUCGUAACAAGGUUUCCGUAGGUGAACCUGCGGAAGGAUCAUUAAUGAAACUUCAAAGUCGGCUUGUUUUCUGUUCUGUGCUGGCGGGAGACCGCAUGUGCACGUCUAGGAACAAGUCGCAAAAUCCACACACACCUGUGCAUCUUAUGACUCUGAGUACCGCUUUGCGUGGCCCCUCACCGGGCCUGGUAUUCGAGUAACUUUUACACACUCUGAAUGUAAUGGAAUGUCUAUUGUGCAUAAUGUACAACUGAAAACAACUUUCAACAACGGAUCUCUUGGCUCUC
rnacentral:misc_RNA from 1 species